rnacentral:rRNA from 1 species
AGUCUGCAACUCGACUACAUGAAGCUGGAAUCGCUAGUAAUCGCAGAUCAGAAUGCUGCGGUGAAUACGUUCCCGGGUCUUGUACACACCGCCCGUCACACCAUGGGAGGUCGGAAAUGCCCGAAGCCGGUGACCCAACCAAAAGGAGGGAGCCGUCGAAGGCAGGUCUGAUAACUGGGUGAAGUCGUAACAAGGUAUC